rnacentral:rRNA from 1 species
UGCGUAGGCGGACUAAUAAGUCAGUGGUGAAAUCUUUCGGCUCAACCGAGAAACUGCCAUUGAUACUGUUAGUCUUGAGUUCGGUUGAGGUAGGCGGAAUGUGUAAUGUAGCGGUGAAAUGCUUAGAUAUUACACAGAACACCAAUUGCGUAGGCAGCUUACUAGACCGACACUGACGCUGAGGCACGAAAGCGUGGGGAGCGAACAGGAUUAGAUACCCUGGUAGUCC